UACGUAGGGCGCAAGCGUUGUCCGGAAUUAUUGGGCGUAAAGAGCUCGUAGGCGGCCAGUUGCGUCUGCUGUGAAAUCCCGGGGCUCAACCCCGGGCGUGCAGUGGAUACGGGCUGGCUAGAGGCAGGGAGAGGGAUGUGGAAUUCCAGGUGUAGUGGUGAAAUGCGUAGAUAUCUGGAGGAACACCGAUGGCGAAGGCAGCUCGCUGGGACGGUACUGACGCUGAGACGCGAAAGCGUGGGGAGCAAACAGG
rnacentral:rRNA from 1 species